rnacentral:rRNA from 1 species
CCUACGGGUGGCAGCAGUGAGGAAUAUUGGUCAAUGGGCGCGAGCCUGAACCAGCCAAGUAGCGUGAAGGAUGACUGUCCUACGGGUUGUAAACUUCUUUUAUCAAGGAAUAAAGUGAGGCACGCGUGCCUUUUUGUAUGUACCUUAUGAAAAAGCAUCGGCUAACUCCGUGCCAGCAGCCGCGGUAAUACGGAGGAUCCGAGCGUUAUCCGGAUUUAUUGGGUUUAAAGGGAGCGUAGAUGGGUUGUUAAGUCAGUUGUGAAAGUUUGCGGCUCAACCGUAAAAUUGCAAUUGAUACUGGCAGCCUUGAGUACAGGUGAGGUAGGCGGAAUUCGUGGUGUAGCGGUGAAAUGCUUAGAUAUCACGAAGAACUCCGAUUGCGAAGGCAGCUUACUAAACUGCCACUGACAUUGAUGCUCGAAAGUGUGGGUAUCAAACAGGAUUAGAUACCCGAGUAGUC